rnacentral:lncRNA from 1 species
CCCGCUACGACUUUCACACCCCCCUGGUUCUUAUUAAAAUAUUUUUGCUUGUUGAAGUAUUUGCAGUAUAUUCUCGUAGUUUUUGAUUUUUUCAUAUUUUUUUGUACCUUUGACCACUGGUUCAAAUGUGUGCAAGUCGUACACAUUAUAUUCUCGUCCUCAAAAGACAGAAAACUUCGAAAUACAUCCGCAAAGACGAUAUUUGAAGCCGCAACUACAGGUAAAAUAUUUCUCAGUUCAUAACUUCACACACUGAGUCACACUCGAGCAAAUUUUCUACAAAAAUUGUUGGGUUUAACUGUGGUACAAUGUAUUAUAUUUUAGCCACAAGUAUGUAAAGGUCUCUAAAGCCUUGUUGUACAAAGUAAUCAACUUUCGUUUCAUUUAAAUCGUGAGCAAAAUGGUAUUUUGAUCUAUUGUUUAUUUGUUUACAUGCUCUAUUUGUUGCAUAUUUUAUGAUGUUUUGAAUAAGCCUGCUGUGCAGUUUGUAUUUCAUGAUACUAUUUUGAAAAUGUAUAAUUUUCUGUAGGUGGCACGAAACUGUGCAUUUUACAAAUAUCAAAUUAUCUUAAUUUGACCCUGGGGACUGAUUUUAUAAUGACAUGAAAGUACAGUAUAAUGUGCUACCAGUUAGUACUUACCACUAUAUUUUGAGGGAAUAACAAAGAGAAUUUAUAGUAUUUUAUAUUUUGUACUAACUUUAUAUGCCAAAGCUAGAGGUACUCAAGGAAGCUCAUUCUGCUGUCGGAGUACCUUAAGGAGUUUUGAAUCAUUAUGUAUUGUAGUUCUUGGGUGGGGGUUCUAGUUAGUGCAGGAUGAUGCAACCACUGUAGCUAAGACUAAGACAAAUAAACCUCGACGUUUCAGCUGAAGAGCUUGGGGCCUUUAUAUUUGUUCAUAUUUUUUUAGCUUUUGGUGUACAUACACAUAGGAUUAUGGUUUCUGUAACUUCUAAUAGUUUCUUGACAAAUAUAAUUCUGAAAAAACAAUGUAUUUUUAAGGGGUCACUCAACUUGCCAACAAAGUUCGAGCAUCGUCUGAAAACCUAGUAUAUUUCUUUUGUAUUCCUCAUUUUCCCUUGAUAUGAUUUUUCAUGCUUUUUCUCUUUUAGAGUAACCUAUAAAAUAUAUUCUUGUUUAUUGCAGAAUUAUUUACCACCACAAUGAUGCAGUUGAAAUUGUAUUAUUUUAAUUUAAAUUCUUCAAUGAAUAAUUAUUAACUACCAAUCACCAAUUAUUGAUGAGUCACAGUGGCGGCGCCAGGGGGGGGGCAAAUGCCCCCCCCCAAUUAUUUUUUGCCCCCCCCAUUUUGCCCCCCCCUCAAAAAAAAUUACUAGUCACUAAGAGCGACUAAAGGCUACACAAGCGUUCUGUCGUUAUCGGAAAAUGUAUGGCUUAUAAGUUGUCAUUACUCAUUAGUGAAUGCGCAUAUACAUAUGAAACUGUUUUUUACAGUUUCAAUAUUAGUUUGUAAAUCUCCGAAUGGUAAAACUUGCCAAUACUCCAAUAAUACGUUUCAAAAAAAGACAAAAAAGCUUUAGUUUUGCAGAGUUAAAUUCUCAAACGUGUAAGGCAAUAAUAAGAUGAAAGUAUCACGAAAUUAUUUGAAUAAACCACAUCGCAUAUAUGGGGGGCGGAUGUCCUAAAGAGGGGCGAUAUUCCUAGGGUAUUCGCCCCACCCCCUGGGAGGCGAUAUUCCUAGGAUAUUCGCCCCCGGGGGCAAUAUUCCUAGGAAUAUCGCCACGUUUUGAGGGGCGGGGGGGGGGGACCUUUUUAAAAAUUCUAUCUUGCCUCCCCAAAAUUUGAGUUUGCCCCUCAAAUGCCCCCCCCCCCAAAUUUGGAAGCCUGGCGCCGCCACUGAUGAGUCAUUCCAGAAAAGAUAAACACUAACUCCACAGAUGUCUGAAGUGCUGUCUGAAGUGGGCAGAACUCAACUGCUGAUAAUAGUAAAAGUAUUAGCUAAGGGUGUCCAAAAGUGGGAGGAAGCUGAACCUCCCAUCUCUUCCAUUAGGGGUGUGGAUAUUUUUUUGAAUGACCCAAUCAGUUUGAACUAACUGUAUAAUCAAGUUAUUCUAGUAUAAUUAUCACUUUGUAGUCCCAUGAGCUGUGACAUCACUUUGGCUGUUUGGCAUGUUUAUCUCUUCAAUUUUCUUUUGGUAGCGAUAACAGAUUACUACUACAGAUACUGUAUUACUACACAUUGUUACACCCAAAUAAGAUCAUAUACAUCAAUGUUAACUAUCAUGAUACAAUACAUCUGUUACAGCAAGAACAUUUUUGCUUCAGUUCUUGUAUAAUUACAUAUCACUUUGAUGCCUGUAAUAGAAAUGAGAAAUAAAGUUACUUUGUUUAUGAUUGUUUUAUUC